rnacentral:rRNA from 1 species
GAUGAACGCUGGCGGCGUGCCUAAUACAUGCAAGUCGAGCGAAUGGAUUAAGAGCUUGCUCUUAUGAAGUUAGCGGCGGACGGGUGAGUAACACGUGGGUAACCUGCCCAUAAGACCGGGAUAACUCCGGGAAACCGGGGCUAAUACCGGAUAACAUUUUGAACCGCAGGGUUCGAAAUUGAAAGGCGGCUUCGGCUGUCACUUAUGGAUGGACCCGGGUCGCAUUAGCUAGUUGGUCAGGGAACGGCUCACCAAGGCAACGAUGCGUAGCCGACCUGAGAGGGUGAUCGGCCACACUGGGACUGAGACACGGCCCAGACUCCUACGGGAGGCAGCAGUAGGGAAUCUUCCGCAAUGGACGAAAGUCUGACGGAGCAACGCCGCGUGAGUGAUGAAGGCUUUCGGGUCGUAAAACUCUGUUGUUAGGGAAGAACAAGUGCUAGUUGAAUAAGCUGGCACCUUGACGGUACCUAACCAGAAAGCCACGGCUAACUACGUGCCAGCAGCCGCAGUAA